CCUACGGGAGGCAGCAGUGAGGGAUAUUGGUCAAUGGGGGAAACCCUGAACCAGCAACGCCGCGUGAGGGAAGACGGUUUUCGGAUUGUAAACCUCUGUCCUCUGUGAAGAUGAUGACGGUAGCAGAGGAGGAAGCUCCGGCUAACUACGUGCCAGCAGCCGCGGUAAUACGUAGGGAGCAAGCGUUGUCCGGAUUUACUGGGUGUAAGGGGUGCGUAGGCGGCUUUGCAAGUCAGAAGUGAAAUCCAUGGGCUUAACCCAUGAACUGCUUUUGAAACUGCAGAGCUUGAGUGGAGUAGAGGUAGGCGGAAUUCCCGGUGUAGCGGUGAAAGGCGUAGAGAUCGGGAGGAACACCAGUGGCGAAGGCAGCAUACCGGCGCGCAACUGACGCUCAUGCACGAAAGCGUGGGUAUCGAACAGGAUUAGAUACCCUGGUAGUC
rnacentral:rRNA from 1 species